GACAGAGGGUGCAAACGUUGCUCGGAAUCACUGGGCGUAAAGGGCGUGUAGGCGGGAAUGUAAGUCGGGCGUGAAAUCCCUAGGCUCAACCUAGGAACUGCACUCGAAACUGCGUUUCUUGAGUAUCGGAGAGGAAAGCUGAAUACCUGGUGUAGAGGUGAAAUUCGUAGAUAUCAGGUGGAACACCAGUGGCGAAGGCGGCUUUCUGGACGAUAACUGACGCUGAGACGCGAAAGCGUGGGGAGCAAACAGG
rnacentral:rRNA from 1 species